AGAGUUUGAUCAUGGCUCAGGAUGAACGCUAGCGGCAGGCCUAAUACAUGCAAGUCGAGCGGCAAGUUGAGUAGUAAUACUUAACCUAGAGCGGCGCACGGGUGCGUAACGCGUAUGCAACCUACCUUUUACUGGGAGAUAGCCCGGAGAAAUCUGGAUUAAUACCCCAUAGUACCAGAUUGUCGAAUGACGAUUUGGUUAAAGAUUUAUCGGUAAGAGAUGGGCAUGCGUCUGAUUAGCUAGUUGGCGGGGUAACGGCUCAUCAAGGCGACGAUCAGUAGGGGUUCUGAGAGGAAGGUCCCCCACACUGGCACUGAGAUACGGGCCAGACUCCUACGGGAGGCAGCAGUAGGGAAUAUUGGGCAAUGGUCGCAAGACUGACCCAGCCAUGCCGCGUGCAGGAAGACGGCCCUCUGGGUUGUAAACUGCUUUUAUCUGGGAAGAAAAAGUCCAUGCGUGGAAAAUUGCCGGUACCAGAUGAAUAAGCACCGGCUAACUCCGUGCCAGCAGCCGCGGUAAUACGGAGGGUGCAAGCGUUGUCCGGAUUUAUUGGGUUUAAAGGGUGCGUAGGCGGCUGAAUAAGUCAGCGGUGAAAGACUUCGGCUUAACCGGAGCAGUGCCGUUGAUACUGUUUAGCUUGAGUGUUGGAGGGGUACAUGGAAUUGAUGGUGUAGCGGUGAAAUGCAUAGAUACCAUCAGGAACACCGAUAGCGAAGGCAUUGUACUGGCCAACAACUGACGCUGAGGCACGAAAGUGUGGGGAUCGAACAGGAUUAGAUACCCUGGUAGUCCACACCGUAAACGAUGAUUACUCGCUGUUAUGGUGUAUGCUGUAGCGGCCAAGCGAAAGCGUUAAGUAAUCCACCUGGGGAGUACGCCGGCAACGGUGAAACUCAAAGGAAUUGAC
rnacentral:rRNA from 1 species